GGAUCAGUUUAUGGAUGCACGGUGGGCGGACUGCCUGGCUCGGGCGGCCACCACCUAUGCGACCCAAACUACAGGAUGGGUGGGAAUGUGACUGAUCAAUCAAUUGUGCCGGAUUCCAGCCGGAAAGGUGGACCACAUCAAUGGCGAUCAGUUCGCGCCUUCCGUCGUCCUCCAGACGGCGCCGGCGGCGGCGGCGGCGACGACCGACACUAACACUUCCCUUUCAUUCUACUUUACCGAUGCACCGCUGCUCGAGUUCUACUUUUCCUUGCACUUCACCGAGGUGGAGCUCCUUCCUCCGAAGGCCACGCGAGUGCCCGAUGUUUACCUUAAUUCCCAGUUGGCUCUCGGUGGAUACCAGCCGCCCUACCUCCUGUCAGACUAGUUGUACAAUUUGGAUCCGCUAACAGGCUCGUCCGAGUAUGUCUUCGCCCUCAACGCUACCCUCAAUUCCACCCUCCCGCCAUCUUGAACGCCCUCCAGGUGUACUACGCGAUGAACAUCAGGGUGAAUGCCACGUUGCCACUGACGCCAACGAUGGUAUGUAUCCGACAUUUACUAUCUUUGAUUGAGGUAAAUUAUAUCUAACGUUUGUGUGAAUGGUUCCAAUGUUGGAUUUGGGGUAACUACUUGAGGCCAUGAUAGCGAUCAAAGCAGAAUAUCUGGUUAAGAAAACUUGGCAGGGCGAUCCGUGUGCCCCAAAGGAAUAUGCUUCAUGCUUGGGUUGGCUUGAAUUGUAGCCAUUCAUCUUUAAGGCCUAAGGGUCGUAUUCAUGUAAGUCAAAAUGCAUUGGGAACUAACAAAAUUUCUCGAAUAUACACCAAAAUGGUAAUAUGAGUUUCUUGAUAUUAUUUACCAACCUAGCUACAUAUUUGGUCGUAUUCAUGUGAGUCAAAAUGCAUUGAGAUUUGAGAACUAAAACAAAACAUUCUUGAACACACAGAAUGGGAAUAUGAGUUUUUUGUUAUUAUUUUGCUAGCCAAGCUGCACCUUUUUUCCUGCAGAAACAUCUCUUCUAGUGGAUUGACUGGAACCAUAUCAGAUUCUUUUGCUUUGCUUGAUGCCUCUGAGUAUUUGUUCACCAACCACACAAUUCCAGGCAACACUGAGAGUAAAAAGAAGAUAAACACACUUAUUAUUCUGGUUAUUUGUUGUGCUGUCCUUGGGUUGCUAUUGAUUCUUAUGCUGGCAGGAUGGUUUAUUUGGCUGAGAAAAAAGGGGAAAAGGUAAUAAUAUUGAGGAGAAUCUGUGUCUCUGAUUUGUUUAUGUAAUGUUUGUCCAAAUUUCUGUAAAUUCAUCUUGUUCCUUAUUUUUGUCAAAAGUUUUGGUUGCGUUGAAUGUGACACGGCAUAUUGAAGCAACCAUAGCUCAGAAAACUGAACAUGGACCACAUCUGCAAGUUGAUGGUGAGAAAUUCACUUUCAAUCAUCUGCAAGUAAUUACUAACGACUUUGCUCAAGUCAUUGGGAAAGGGGCUUUUGCGACAUUCUAUCUAGGUCAUUCGGACGAACUCAAGUUGCAGUCAAAGUGCAUUCAUGAUUUACUUCACAGCAGACCCAAGAAUUUGAAUGAGGCAAGGCAGCUACUAAGGAUUCAUCAUAGGAAUGUUGUUUCUCUUCUGGGUUACUGCAGAGAUGAAACUUUUUUAGCUCUUGUUUAUGAGUACAUGCCCCAUGGAAGCCUCAAAGAUCAUUUCCAAGGUAAAACAGGCAUUGAUCAGGAAUAUGGAGAGUUAUACUAUGCAAGUGGUAACUUGUCUCAUUACAUUAUAACAUCAUGUUGGAACAUUUUCUAUCAUCAUUAUUUUUAUUAUGUUCAUGUGAAUCUGUGAACCUAUGACCUCGGGAGACAAUUAAAGACAAAAAAUCUUUAUCUUGACCAACCUUUCCAACUAGGUUUUCCUCUGCAAAAGAUGCUAAAAAUUCUCAAAUGUUGUAGCAAUAAGACGAAGUAUAAUAGCAUUUAGUAACUAGGCACUUGGAUCUUCUCUCUGAACAUGAUGUGGAUUUUGGUGAUGAUAUGAUACAUGAACGGACAAUUUAUCUAGAACCUUGAAUUGGAGAGCGUCUAAUGAUUGCAUUGGAAGUUGCUCAAGGACUUGACUAUCUCCACGGAGGAUGCAUGCCGCCUAUAAUACAUAGAGAUUUGAAGACCUAUAAUAUUCUUUUAGGUGAAAAACUUGAGGCCGAACUAACAGACUAUGGGAUAUCUAAAUCUUUCAAUAAUAACACAGAUGUCACCGCCUCGAAAUGGUUGGAACCCCAGGAUACACUGACCCUGAGUUCCAUAAAACUUACCAGCUUAUGGAGAAGAGUGACAUAUAUAGCUUCGGAGUGGUCCCUCUGGAGCUAAUCACUAGCCAACGAGCCAUACAGUCCAGCAGAAGUAAGGUUCACAUUGUUCAAUAUAUGGCAUCCUAUAUUGCCCCAGGGAACAUCGAUGCUGUAGUUGUCAAUAUAUCUCACGGGGCAUUCAGUAACAACAGGUCUUGCAAUGCAGUGCAAGCAGAUACCUAGAGCCGUAACUUCCAUGAGGCCAGAGAGGCAACCGCCUCAGGGCCCAACCCAAUGAAAGACCCAUUUUUUAAUUAUAUAAAAGACAUGGACCCUAAAUAGCUGUUAAACCUAUUCUCACGACUCCGAGGCACACACCGACGCAUGACUCUUCUUUGGACGCAAUUUCUUCUCUGGUGUUGCUCUUCUUUGCAUGCGAUUUCUUCUUUGACGUUCUUUCUACCAAGGCAUGGAUCCACGGAACAAGAGGUCUCGUCGAACACAGGUACGACUCUACAGAUACCUCUGCUGAUAGGCCAAUGAUAGUCGACAUUGUGAACCGGCUCAAGGAGUGCAUGGAACUUGUGGCUACGAGUGAGGAUAGCACAAAUUGGAAUGUCGAAGGUGAAAGAUCUGUCCAGUUUAACGCACUUGAGGUAGAAGGGUCGAACCAUCACCUAGGUCCAAGAUGAAUUGAAAAUCUUGUCUUUCCCUGUAUGAGAUGCGAGAUUCUUCAACAGCGUUAUCUUGAAAUGGUGUGUAUUUCUCA